rnacentral:rRNA from 1 species
AGCUCCAAUAGCGUAUAUUAAAGUUGUUGCGGUUAAAAGCUCGUAGUUGGAUUUCGAUUGGGAACUGGCGGUCCACCUCUUGGGUGAGUAUCUGCAUAGGUCUCGGUCUCCUCUCGUUGGACGUUUCUGCGCUUGAUUGCGUGGUGCGGACCACGGGACUUUUACUUUGAGGAAAUUAGAGUGUUCACGGCAGGCAAACGCCUUGAAUAUAUUAGCAUGGAAUAAUAAUAUAGGAUCUUGGUUCUAUUUUGUUGGUUUCUAGAGCUAAGAUAAUGAUUAAUAGGGACAAUUGGGGGCAUUCGUAUUAACGCGUCAGAGGUGAAAUUCUUGGAUUGCGUUACGACGAACUACUGCGAAAGCAUUUGCCAAGGAUGUUUUCA